GAUCCGGCCAUGGCCAAUUGCAUAUAUUGCUUUUACUUUUUCAAAAUGCGAAUAUUGCACUUUCCCUGGCCAGAUC
rnacentral:pre_miRNA from 14 species